UACGAAGGGUGCAAGCGUUACUCGGAAUUACUGGGCGUAAAGCGCGCGCAGGCGGUCUUCCAAGUCAGUGGUGAAAGCCCGGAGCUCAACUCCGGAAUUGCCAUUGAAACUGUUAGACUUGAGGAUGAGAGAGGUGAGUGGAAUUCCCAGUGUAGAGGUGAAAUUCGUAGAUAUUGGGAAGAACACCGGUGGCGAAGGCGGCUCACUGGCUCAUUACUGACGCUCAGGCGCGAUAGCGUGGGGAUCAAACAGG
rnacentral:rRNA from 1 species